ensembl:lncRNA
UUUUUUUUUUUUAAAUUCAGUUUAUCCCCCUUGGUUAGAAGUAAAAUGUCCUUGCAAAGAGAAAAAUUUCCAUAAACAAUUUUAUCAGUCUAGAUAGAAUGACUGUAAAAAUUAUCACUACAUAUAUAAUGGGAAACUUCACAAAAAAAUGAAUUAGAAAAAAAAAUCUAUUUGUUCAGUACAUUUUUGAAUGUGAAAGGAUCCAUGAAAAGGAGGAAGAAUCAAAAAUCCACAUUCUAAAAUCAGGGAAAAUCAACAGCCUGAGAAGAAGUUGUGCAUACACAUGCCCAGGCAUUUCAUCACAGGACUCCCUCCACACAGCCUUCCCAGUGCUCACCGGCAGGAAAACCACGUUUCUCUGGGCAGCACAGUCAGUUCCAGAUUGAAAGGAUUUCUCAAAAGGUCAGAGUUGUGGACAUAUUGCUCAAAACAAACAGGAGAAUGUAGAAAUAAGAGGAAAGAUGGAUAGGUGCAUUAGGGCUGUGUAAUGCAGGUGCCAGGAGUCACACUACCAGGACCGACGAGCAUGUCAUAGCUGCACUGCUAGGGAGGGAAUAAAAGGAGCUGCUUAAAUGCAAGACGCGGUGUGUCUUUCUUCCCCAUCCUUUGUCGGCCAGAGUCUGACAUUCAUACUCAGGAUGUCAUGAAAAUGUAACUGAUGAGGUCAGGGAGUGGGGGGAAGAAACCCAAGCACUCCUACUGUCCAACCCAAUGGAAUUCCCUAUGGGUAGGCCCUCAAAGUGAUGCCAAUUACUGUGAGAUUCAUGGUUUUCACUUCUGUAAUAACCUUUCCACCUUAACCAAAAUCUUGGCAGCCAAGGAAUCCACCAAGCUGAAGCCAAAGGCAGCAUGUUUUAAAAUGGAAUCCUUGCCCAAAAAGGACACACUCAGAAAAAAGCAAUGAACUCUAUUCUGUACCUGGGGAAUGGCUCUAAGUUACAAAGCCAAGGAGAGCUAUGUUCCAGUUAAAAGCCAGCCAGAACCAGACCAAGCUGGGCUGCCCAGGAGUAUGGGUUUAGGGAUGUGGAGAAGUGUUGUGGCAAAGAACAACUCUUCUUUUCCCUGUUUAGCUGGAGUUUGACCUCAUUUGGACAGCCACAGACAUUCCAGCAACAAACACGGGGCUUCUCCAAAACAAGUGACCAGAUACAUUUUAAGGAAAACAGAGGAGGGAGUGGGAAGAGAACGUAUAAGAUUCUUAAGAGACUUAAAUCAACCUGUUGCUAUGUGUGGAUCUCAUUUGUACCUUGAUUCAAAUAAACUACUAAAAAUGACAAAAUAGCAGGGGAAAAUCUAGAUAUUUGAAUUGACAUUAAUUUUUAGUGUGAUAAUGGAUGGUAUUUGUUCAUAUAUUUAUUUACCUGAUUCCACCUUAUUUAGAUAAUCUGAAAUAUUUAUGGAUGAAAUGAUGCCUGGGAUUUGCUUUGCAAUAAUCUGGUCAGAUGGGUAUAGAGGAAAACAAGAUGGCGGCAUUGAGUUGAGACUUCUUGAAGCUGGGUGAUUAGUACACAGGGGUUCAUGUGCUC